rnacentral:rRNA from 1 species
CGGGACAGGUGAGUAACGCGUGGGUAACCUACCCUGUACACACGGAUAACAUACCGAAAGGUAUGCUAAUACGGGAUAAUAUAUUUGAGAGGCAUCUCUUGAAUAUCAAAGGUGAGCCAGUACAGGAUGGACCCGCGUCUGAUUAGCUAGUUGGUAAGGUAACGGCUUACCAAGGCGACGAUCAGUAGCCGACCUGAGAGGGUGAUCGGCCACAUUGGAACUGAGACACGGUCCAA